GGGAUGGUAACACAACUGGUUAGUGUACUUGGUUGUCAACCAAGAGGUUGCGGGUUCAAGUCCCGUCCAUCCCGCCA
rnacentral:tRNA from 1 species